rnacentral:rRNA from 1 species
AACGAACGCUGGCGGCAUGCCUAACACAUGCAAGUCGAACGAGACCUUCGGGACUAGUGGCGCACGGGUGCGUAACGCGUGGGAACCUGCCCUUAGGUUCGGAAUAACUCCCCGAAAGGGGUGCUAAUACCGGAUAAUGGCUUCGGACCAAAGAUUUAUCGCCUUUGGAUGGGCCCGCGUUGGAUUAGCUAGUUGGUAGGGUAAAAGCCUACCAAGGCGACGAUCCAUAGCUGGUCUGAGAGGAUGAUCAGCCACACUGGGACUGAGACACGGCCCAGACUCCUACGGGAGGCAGCAGUGGGGAAUAUUGGACAAUGGGCGAAAGCCUGAUCCAGCAAUGCCGCGUGAGUGAUGAAGGCCUUAGGGUUGUAAAGCUCUUUUACCCGGGAUGAUAAUGACAGUACCGGGAGAAUAAGCUCCGGCUAACUCCGUG